rnacentral:rRNA from 1 species
GACGAACGCUGGCGGCGUGCCUAAUACAUGCAAGUCGAACGAGAGCGACCGGUGCUUGCACUGGUCAAUCUAGUGGCGAACGGGUGAGUAACACGUGGGUAACCUGCCCAUCAGAGGGGGAUAACAUCCGGAAACGGAUGCUAAAACCGCAUAGGUCUUCGAGCCGCAUGGCUUGAAGAGGAAAAGAGGCGCAAGCUUCUGCUGAUGGAUGGACCCGCGGUGCAUUAGCUAGUUGGUGAGGUAACGGCUCACCAAGGCCGUGAUGCAUAGCCGACCUGAGAGGGUGAUCGGCCACAUUGGGACUGAGACACGGCCCAAACUCCUACGGGAGGCAGCAGUAGGGAAUCUUCCGCAAUGGACGCAAGUCUGACGGAGCAACGCCGCGUGAGUGAAGAAGGUUUUCGGAUCGUAAAACUCUGUUGUUAGAGAAGAACAAGUGCUAGAGUAACUGUUAGCGCCUUGACGGUAUCUAACCAGAAAGCCACGGCCAACUACGUG